rnacentral:misc_RNA from 1 species
CCCCUGUUAACAAAGAAUCCAUUGUGUUUUAUUGCUGAAUUAUCCACUUCAAAAUAUUCAUCCAGCUCAGCAUCAUCAAUAAAGGAGUCAUCUGUGUCAUAUUGAUCAUCAUCAGGAACAUCCUUUAGAUCUUCCUCAUCACUACUAUCCUUACCCAUAUAAAGGCGUUCAAUCUUCUCAAUCACAGCACUGAAACGAUUUGGAGCAGGUGCAUCCUUCUCUUCAUUUUCAGCUGGUUGUCCAGGAGCAAGGCG